AUCUAACUGACGGGUCUCAAAUAGGACGAAAUGUGCAUCUUGGAU
rnacentral:hammerhead_ribozyme from 1 species